CCGCAAGGAGGGAGCCGUCAAUGGCAAGACUGGUAACUGGGGUGAAGUCGUAACAAGGUAGCCGUACCGGAAGGUGUGGCUGGAUCACCUCCUUU
rnacentral:rRNA from 1 species